UUCUUUAUAGCUUGGUUGGUAAAGAAUCUGCCUGCAAUGCAGGAGACUUGGGUUCAAGUCCCAGGUAGGGAAG
rnacentral:tRNA from 1 species